rnacentral:misc_RNA from 1 species
UGUGGGAGCGAGCCUGCUCGCGAUAGCGGUGGGUCAGUCAACCAUUGUGUAAAGCUGACACUGUUAUCGCGAGCGGGCUCGCUCCCACA